AGCUGAUUUGGACUACAGUUCCCAUCAUCCCUGACCGCUGGCUGUGCUAGCUAGGGAUGAUGGGAAUUGUAGUCCAAAUCAGCU